GGAACUUGUGGUGAUGAUUUAACUUUUUUCCCCAUCUUAUCGAUAUAUGCUGAUAAUCGUCUUACAUGCAUCAUGCAUUAAGCCAGUACAAAUCUGAACAAGUUCC
rfam:Strongylocentrotus purpuratus Contig70458_fixed, whole genome shotgun sequence.